rnacentral:rRNA from 1 species
UACGUAGGGUGCAAGCGUUGUCCGGAAUUAUUGGGCGUAAAGAGCUCGUAGGCGGUCUGUCGCGUCUGCUGUGAAAACUCGGGGCUUAACCCCGGGCCUGCAGUGGGUACGGGCAGACUAGAGUGCGGUAGGGGAGACUGGAAUUCCUGGUGUAGCGGUGAAAUGCGCAGAUACCAGGAGGAGCACCGAUGGCGAAGGCAGGUCUCUGGGCAUUAACUGACGCUGAGGAGCGAAAGCAUGGGGAGCGAACAGG